rnacentral:rRNA from 1 species
GAUGAACGCUGGCGGCGUGCCUAAUACAUACCAGUCGAGCGAACAGACGAGGAGCUUGCUCCUCUGACGUUAGCGGCGGACGGGUGAGUAACACGUGGAUAACCUACCUAUAAGACUGGGAUAACUUCGGGAAACCGGAGCUAAUACCGGAUAAUAUAUUGAACCGCAUGGUUCAAUAGUGAAAGACGGUUUUGCUGUCACUUAUAGAUGGAUCCGCGCCGCAUUAGCUAGUUGGUAAGGUAACGGCUUACCAAGGCGACGAUGCGUAGCCGACCUGAGAGGGUGAUCGGCCACACUGGAACUGAGACACGGUCCAGACUCCUACGGGAGGCAGCAGUAGGGAAUCUUCCGCAAUGGGCGAAAGCCUGACGGAGCAACGCCGCGUGAGUGAUGAAGGUCUUCGGAUCGUAAAACUCUGUUAUUAGGGAAGAACAAAUGUGUAAGUAACUAUGCACGUCUUGACGGUACCUAAUCAGAAAGCCACGGCUAACUACGUG